GCCGGAGUGGUGAAACAGGUAGACGCGCUGGACUCAAAAUCCAGUGGGCCUCGAGCCCGUGAGAGUUCGAGUCUCUCCUCCGGCACCA
rnacentral:tRNA from 1 species